UACGUAGGUGGCAAGCGUUGUCCGGAUUUAUUGGGUUUAAAGGGUGCGUAGGCGGCUAAGUAAGUCAGGAGUGAAAGUUUGCGGCUCAACCGUAAAAUUGCUUUUGAUACUGCAUAGCUAGAAUUAGGAUGAGGUCAGCGGAAUGUGGCAUGUAGCGGUGAAAUGCAUAGAUAUGCCAUAGAACACCAAUUGCGAAGGCAGCUGGCUAGACCUGGAUUGACGCUGAGGCACGAAAGCGUGGGGAGCGAACAGG
rnacentral:rRNA from 1 species